GUCUGGUGGAGAUAUGCUGCUCUAUACACGCUAAAAGUAGUGAUUAUUUACAUGGAGUCUGGUGGAGAUAUGCUGCUCUAUACACGCUAAAAGUAGUGAUUAUUUACAUGGAGUCUGGUGGAGAUAUGCUGCUCUAUACACGCUAAAAGUAGUGAUUAUUUACAUGGAGUCUGGUGGAGAUAUGCUGCUCUAUACACGCUAAAAGUAGUGAUUAUUUACAUGGAGUCUGGUGGGUUUGGUGAAGGUGAUUUCGGGGCUGUUUUAUGUCAAACUAAAUGUGU